rnacentral:rRNA from 1 species
UGGGGAAUAUUGCACAAUGGGCGCAAGCCUGAUGCAGCCAUGCCGCGUGUGUGAAGAAGGCCUUCGGUUGUAAAGCACUUUCAGCGAGGAGGAAGGUGGUGAACUUAAUACGUUCAUCAAUUGACGUUACUCGCAGAAGAAGCACCGGCUAACUCCGUGCCAGCAGCCGCGGUAAUACGGAGGGUGCAAGCGUUAAUCGGAAUUACUGGGCGUAAAGCGCACGCAGGCGGUUUGUUAAGUCAGAUGUGAAAUCCCCGGGCUCAACCUGGGAACUGCAUUUGAAACUGGCAAGCUAGAGUCUCGUAGAGGGGGGUANAAUUCCAGGGUGUAGCGGUGAAAUGCGUAGAGAUCUGGA